rnacentral:sRNA from 1 species
UCCAAGUGACACUAGCAAUCACAUUGCCUUUAGCUGAGCAAACACUUUGAGUUAUAGCCAUUUGACAGUGUCAAUAGGGAAAAAUUACAAUGCGCCCGAUUCCUGUUGGUUCUAAGCCGAAGAUAAUCUCGACGAAACUGCCACUAAAAAUUAAGCAGAGCUCUUAAGCAACUCUACCAAAGUGUGCGGCAGAUAUGCGGCCAUGAGAACAGAAAAAAGGAGCUGUAGUGGUCCAAUAGUCUGCCACACCGGUGAGUGGAUAAUAAAAAAUGCAGGAGGCAGCCAUCAGGCCAAGCGGAAACGGAAAUAAGUAAGCAGUCUGAAUUUCAGACUAUGAAAUCACAAAAAAGCCCGGCAGCUGCAGCAGCGUUUCCCCUCUUCCCGGCUCUUCUGGCUAUUAUGCGCACACAAUGCCAACGGUAAACGCAAAAAGAAACUGCGGGAAAAUGAAAGGAGCUCGAAGCGGGAAAAACUAGCGGAAAAGCGCCAUCCGGGUGGGAAAAGUUUCCCAGCUAGACGGUGCAUUUAAUACACUUUGCAUAACUAGCUGUCUGGGCUUUUAUAGUUUUACGAUAUGAUGGAAUUAUUUUUAGAUGGUACAUGCAGUAGCACAGAGAGGGUUUGACAACAUGUGGAAAAUAUUUAUGUUAACGGUUAAUAUUUAAUAUCUGUGGCUCUACGUACUCUUUAAAAUUAUUGAAGGGUAAAGCAGUUCGUAGCGAAAGCAAUACCCCGACGUAGGAUCUGACGAUUUGGGUCGAGCUUCUGAAUGGGUUCAUAUUCUUCUCGCACCUGCCACCCCUCCCCCGUUUGAAUUUAAUUUUUCUGGCCUGUCCCCCUUAUGUUCUCCCUCCGUUCUGGCUUCUUUUAUUUUUUGGUCCGGUUCAAAAUUGAAAGUGCAUUAGCCUUUUCAGUUAAUUUGCAGAGCCACUGGAGGGAUUUUGUUCUUCUGAUUGGCAGGACCCAGAAUCGGAUGCCAAAUUCCGGAUUAACAUCAGCCAGACUUAACGCUCGGCUUGCCUUUUCAAAACAAUUUGUGCUAAUUUCCAGCCAUGAUGCAGGGCCGUAAAAACGUAGAAUAAACUAAGGAAGAACUAAAGAGAA